AACGAACGCUGGCGGCAUGCCUAACACAUGCAAGUCGAACGAGACCUUCGGGUCUAGUGGCGCACGGGUGCGUAACGCGUGGGAAUCUGCCCGUGGGUUCGGAAUAACAGUGAGAAAUUAAUGCUAAUACCGGAUGAUGUCUUCGGACCAAAGAUGUAUCGCCCCGGGAUGAGCCCGCGUAGGAUUCGCUAGUUGGUGGGGUAAUGGCCUGCCAAGGCGACGAUCCUUAGCUGGUCGGAGAGGAGGAUCAGCCACACUGGGACUGAGACAAGGCCCAGACUCCUGCGAGAGGCGGCAGUGGGGAAUAUUGGGCAAUGGGCGCAAGCCUGAUCCGGCGAUGCCGCGAGGGUGAUGAAGGCCUUAGGGUUGUAAAGCUCUUUUACCCGAGAUGAUAAUGACAGUACCGGGAGAAUAAGCCCCGGCUAACUCCGU
rnacentral:rRNA from 1 species